rnacentral:rRNA from 1 species
UACGUAGGCAGCGAGCGUUGUUCGGAGUUACUGGGCGUAAAGGGUGUGUAGGCGGUUUUCUAAGUUUGGUGUGAAAUCUCCCGGCUCAACCGGGAGGGUGCGCCGAAAACGGGGAGACUAGAGUGCGGGAUGGGAGAGUAGAAUUCCUGGUGUAGCGGUGAAAUGCGUAGAUAUCAGGAGGAAUACCGGUGGGGUAGACGCCUCUCUGGACCGCCACUGACGCUGAGACACGAAAGCCAGGGGAGCAAACGGG